rnacentral:tmRNA from 1 species
GGGGAUGUAAAGGUUUCGACGGGGGUCUUGAAGGGUGAUAAGCGAGUGGAGGAGCGCACUCUCCUAAAACGGCGUACGUUUUAAAAUUAGACGACAACAAUAAUUUUGAACUGGCUGCUGCCUAAGCGCAGUGCCCGUCUUGCCUGAGAGUACCACGGCUCGGGUAAAGGCGUCGACUUAGUGGUGAACGUCAUCGGGCAAUGACUGUAGCCCCCUGAUGUAUCACAGUCUACCGAACCGCCGGGCGUGUCUGUUUGCCUGACGGUAAGGGAAACGGCGCAAGCCAAAAUAACCGACUAAACUCGUAGAAAUUCAUUUGGAUGGGCUUUCGGACAGGAGUUCGACUCUCCUCAUCUCCACCA